UCUGCCCCUAGCAGCGUGGCUGCUGUGUCACAUGUGUGUCAGUCAGUAGGUGGCAGAGAGGAGAGAGGCUGUGUCUAUCUCAGGGUUCUGAUCUACGAACAUCUGAGUGAUUAGUAGCCUAACAUU
ensembl:snoRNA